rnacentral:rRNA from 1 species
GGGAACUGAAACAUCUAAGUACCCCGAGGAAAAGAAAUCAACCGAGAUUCCCCCAGUAGCGGCGAGCGAACGGGGAGGAGCCCAGAGCCUGAAUCAGCAUGUGUGUUAGUGGAAGCGUCUGGAAAGGCGCGCGAUACAGGGUGACAGCCCCGUACACAAAAGCGCAUGUGCUGUGAGCUCGAUGAGUAGGGCGGGACACGUGGUAUCCUGUCUGAAUAUGGGGGGACCAUCCUCCAAGGCUAAAUACUCCUGACUGACCGAUAGUGAACCAGUACCGUGAGGGAAAGGCGAAAAGAACCCCGGCGAGGGGAGUGAAACAGAACCUGAAACCGUGUACGUACAAGCAGUGGGAGCAUGAGUUUACUCAUGUGACUGCGUACCUUUUGUAUAAUGGGUCAGCGACUUAUAUUCUGUAGCAAGGUUAACCGAAUAGGGGAGCCGGAGGGAAACCGAGUCUUAACCGGGCGUUAAGUUGCAGGGUAUAGACCCGAAACCCGGUGAUCUAGCCAUGGGCAGGUUGAAGGUUGGGUAACACUAACUGGAGGACCGAACCGACUAAUGUUGAAAAAUUAGCGGAUGACCUGUGGCUGGGGGUGAAAGGCCAAUCAAACCGGGAGAUAGCUGGUUCUCCCCGAAAGCUAUUUAGGUAGCGCCUCGUGAAUUCAUCUCCGGGGGUAGAGCACUGUUUCGGCCAGGGGGCCAUCCCGGCUUACCAACCCGAUGCAAACUGCGAAUACCGGAGAAUGUUAUCACGGGAGACACACGGCGGGUGCUAACGUCCGUCGUGAAGAGGGAAACAACCCAGACCGCCAGCUAAGGUCCCAAAGUCAUGGUUAAGUGGGAAACGAUGUGGGAAGGCCCAGACAGCCAGGAUGUUGGCUUAGAAGCAGCCAUCAUUUAAAGAAAGCGUAAUAGCUCACUGGUCGAGUCGGCCUGCGCGGAAGAUGUAACGGGGCUAAACCAU